rnacentral:lncRNA from 1 species
GGCGUCCCGAUCCCGGCGUGGCUUUCCCCAGUCCACGAAGUCUUCUACGGACAUAUCCUCCUGUUCCCCAAGAGGAUGGCACAGGGAGAGUUCUGAGUGGUCUCGGGCAAUGGCUGCAUUUGCUGUUGGCCUGUAAGCAGGCCAGAAGCAGAGGAAGAGAGAGAAGGUAAAACCCGCCCAUGGACCGCAAGCGUGAGAGCCAAGGCAGGACUAUGAACUGUCAAAAUUGUCUCUGACUUCUCACCAGGCCGGAGAGGAGGGAUCUAGUGCGUGAGGCACUACUUGGUUUGGGACAAGUCAGAGGCGAAUAAAAGCUCUUCCUGCCUUGAAGAAGCUUACAGUUUUGUGGGAAAAUGAUCUGCAAUGGGAAUACAUACGAUAUGACAAAUGUUCUAUUAUGAAAAUGCAUGCCUGUAUUCAACUUAGAACAUCAAAGUAAUCUCAGAUACUAACAAGAAUGUCCAACGAAUCUCUACAUAAGUGCAGGCUUUUUUUUUUUUUUUUUUUUUUAAUGAGAAGGAUUGAAAAUACUAUCCCGUGACAGGUCAACCUUGUCUUGGAAAUCUCAGAAAUCUCAAUCUUAUCCAUAGAAAAGUCAUGACUUCUGUGCUUAUGUCCAUUUGUUCUUUAAAUACCAAACUGUCAGCUCAUAGGAACCAUUUACACACACACACUGACACACACACAAACACGCACACCCCUACUUACUGAGAUGUUCCUGGGGAGAUUCGAAGACCUGUUCCAUUGAGAAAACAAGAAUAAGCCCCUGGGGCAAAAGACUCCGCGUCUCUGGGGAACUCAGUAUCCGCGCCGCGAGCACCCAUGCCCAUUUUGAACACAACGCGACUGCUAAGGACGUGGUGUAAUCAUAUGGACCUUCACUCCCAAGAGACUCGAUUUCAGAGAAAAUCUGGGAGACAAAUUUAGAUCCCUACCCGCACCCACGCGAUCAAUAAAGCUGGGGAGACCUUUGGGGGAGGGGACAGAUGUGCUUGCAUCCGGGCCGUGCGUGCCUGCUUCACGGGUUUUCCGGGCAGCACCGGCCCGCACACGCCGGUGCACUCUUUUUCUGGAAUUCUUGAAAUAGCCGGGCCUGAGGACAGUAAGGGAGCUGAGUUGUGUCUGCUACAGACAAGCGGCGCAGAGCCUGGGGGCCAAGCCAGGGAUGCAGGGAGCGCGGCGUUAGCGGAUGACGGAUAGCUCAGGGCUAAGGCCUGGCAGGUCCUUCCUACCCCCGACCCAGUACACCCCGCAGCCCCGCCCUCGCCCCAGCACGCGAGGUGAAAGCGCGAGGCCCGGGGAUGGCGGAGAGCGUGCGCCACUAUCGGGGCGCUGUCUCUUGCCCCGCUCUCGCCCUGGGCCGGAGAACGGAGAAGGUCCGCAGGCCUCGGGCCACGGAGGGCACCAGAUCGGUCCGCUCUGCUCCGCUAACCCAGCCUGCGCCCCUCCACCCCGCCAAGGCCCUGCUGGGCGCUGCGCCGGUUGCUCGCGUCCUCUGUUGUCGCGGAGCCGCCGCCGCCGCCGCCCGCGAACCAGCAACGCCGACACCCAGCAGUUGCAGGCCCGGCGUUUGCCGCCGCGGUUUUUCCACCCAGCACUGAGGAUCAAGCCCGCUGUAGCCUGGCUGCGACUCCCCGCUUGGGAGCAGAGGCCGCCAGGGGCCUCCAGGCCGAGAGAUUCUGGAGCCUUUCCAGGGCGCGGCGGGGAGCGGGGCCUCCGGAAACCCACCCCGGGGAUGCUGGAGUCUGUCCUGCAGAGGCCGUGGCGCGGGCACUGCUGCCUGAUUUCGAAGAGGCUCCAUCAACCUACUCUCUUCCAAAGGGCUGGGCAGCCCAGCCACAGACAGGCAGCCUCUGGAUCUCAGAAGUGAGGGACGGAGUCUAUCCUGGGUUUGGUCCAGUAGAAACCCCCCACCCCCACCCCCAGAGUCUGGGAACCAGUGCUGUGCCCACAGAUGCAAAGAGAAAGAGCAUGGGUUAAAGCGCUAUUGGGAUCGGUUAGAC